ACUUUUCUCCCCCUUCAUUGUAUCUGAGCUUCUCAGAAUCACAUACACACUUUUCUAUUUUUACUUUCCAGCCUGGGCCCACUUCCAAAUGUGAAACUGUGGGAUUCCUGCACUCCUACAUAUGUAAGACCCAGACUGAACUCAAAGGUCUGACCAGUUUACCUCCGCAACCAGACUACUUUCUUCAUAGUGCACAACUGAAAUUGGAGACCAUUCAGGUUUCCUUACAUUAAAAUAGUUCAGAAGGAACAUUUACAUCUCCUAAUGAAAGACUGCAGAAUGGAGUUGAAAUUAAGUUAUUGGAGUUCACAAUUUGUCUUGGCACAGAGCCUAAUCCAGUUUAUAAUCUAAUAUCUAUGCUGGAGUCCCUGCAUUGGAUUGUUUACAAAGAAAAUAGUGUCUACAGCUUGGAAUGGGAGAAGUUAAUGGGAGAAUUUCAAGAAGAGUUGUUGGAAAACAUGCCACAGAAAACAAACAAGCAAAUAAAGAAAAACUUUAAAGAACAGUAUAAGAACGGUUAUCAACUAAAGAAAUAUAAAUUAACUAGAUGGAUGGUGGAUCCCUUUGC